rnacentral:rRNA from 1 species
AGAACGACGCUGGCGGCAUGCCUAACACAUGCAAGUCGAACGAAGCCUUCGGGCUUAAUGGCGCACGGGUGCGUAACACGUGGGAAUCUGCCCUUUGGUUCGGAAUAACAGUUAGAAAUGACUGCUAAUACCGGAUAAUGACGUAAGUCCAAAGAUUUAUCGCCGAAGGAUGAGCCCGCGUAGGAUUAGGUAGUUGGUGGGGUAAUGGCCCACCAAGCCGACGAUCCUUAGCUGGUCUGAGGGGAUGAUCAGCCACACUGGGACUGAGACACGGCCCAGACUCCUACGGGAGGCAGCAGUGGGGAAUAUUGGACAAUGGGCGAAAGCCUGAUCCAGCAAUGCCGCGUGAGUGAUGAAGGCCUUAGGGUUGUAAAGCUCUUUUACCAGGGAUGAUAAUGACAGUACCUGGAGAAUAAGCUCCGGCUAACUCCGUG